rnacentral:rRNA from 1 species
GGGUUGUGCACGCCCGAGUGUUCUCACACACAUAUAAUCCACCUCACCCCUUUGUGCAUCACCGCGUGGGUCCCCCUUUGGCUUAGUUCCAAGGGGGUGGCUCGCGUUUUCACACAAAAACACCUUUCGAAUGCAGUGUAGAAUGUUCUUAUACAAUCAAUACAACUUUCAACAACGGAUCUCUUGGCUCUCGCAUCGAUGAAGAACGCAGCGAAAUGCGAUACGUAAUGUGAAUUGCAGAAUUCAGUGAAUCAUCGAAUCUUUGAACGCACCUUGCACCCCUUGGCAUUCCGAGGGGUACACCCGUUUGAGUGUCGUGACAUCCUCAAAACCUUUCUUGGUCGCUUGAUCGAGAGAGGCUUUGGACUUUGGAGGUUUUCUUUUGCUGGCCUUCCUUGAAAGGAAGCCAGCUCCUCUUAAACGAAUUAGUGGGGUCCACUUUGCCGAUCCCUCGACGUUGAUAAGAUGUUUCUACGUCUUGGGAUUUGCUCUGUUCAUUGGGAACCUGCUUCUAACCGUCUCGUCAGAGACUUUGGUCGAGUGUGCCUCGACCCAAAACCUUGACCUCAAUCGGGUGAGACUACCCGCUGAACUUAAGCAUAUCAUAACCGGAAGAA